ACAAAGAGCAGCAAGUUCGCGAGGACAAGCAAAUCUCAUAAACCGUGGCUCAGUUCAGAUCGUAGGCUGCAACUCGCCUACGUGAAGGAGGAAUCGCUAGUAAUCGCAGGUCAGCAUACUGCGGUGAAUACGUUCCCGGGCCUUGUACACACCGCCCGUCACACCAUGGAAGUUGGCCACGCCCGAAGCCGUUACUCCAACCCUUGUGGAGGAGGACGUCGAAGGUGGGGCUGAUGACUGGGGUGAAGUCGUAACAAGGUAGCCGUACCGGAAGGUGCGGCUGGAUCACCUCCUAAC
rnacentral:rRNA from 1 species